GUGCCAGCAGCCGCGGUAAGACGGAGGGUGCAAGCGUUGCUCGGAAUCACUGGGCGUAAAGGGUGCGUAGGCGGUCUCGCAAGUCUGGCGUGAAAGCCCAAGGCUCAGCCUUGGAAGUGCGCUCGAAACUGCGAGGCUGGAGUGCCGGAGGGGAGAGUGGAAUUCCCGGUGUAGCGGUGAAAUGCGUAGAGAUCGGGAGGAAUACCGGUGGCGAAAGCGACUCUCUGGACGGCAACUGACGCUGAGGCACGAAAGCGUGGGGAGCAAACAGGAUUAGAUACCCGCGUAGUCC
rnacentral:rRNA from 1 species